rnacentral:rRNA from 1 species
UACAGAGGGGGCAAGCGUUGUUCGGAAUUACUGGGCGUAAAGGGCGCGUAGGCGGCCUGCUAAGUCGAACGUGAAAUCCCUGGGCUCAACCCAGGAACUGCGUCCGAUACUGGUUGGCUUGAAUCCGGGAGAGGGAUGUGGAAUUCCAGGUGUAGCGGUGAAAUGCGUAGAUAUCUGGAGGAACACCGGUGGCGAAGGCGGCUCACUGGCCCGGUACUGACGCUCAUGUGCGAAAGCGUGGGGAGCAAACAGG